UACUAAGGGACAAACAAAUAAAUAAAUACAUUUGACCUUUUAUCUCACUUUUUUUGCAAUUCUGAAAUAAAUAAAAAUAAAUAAACUCAAAAUUGUGAGAUAUAAACUCACAAUUCUGCUAAAAAGGUAAGAAUUGUGAGAAAUACAUUCACAAUUGUGAGAUGUAAACCCAAAAUUGAAAGAAAUCAUUGCUAAAAUAGAAUUGCUAAAAAAAGGAAUUGCUAAAAAAAGACAUAAUUAAGAGAAUAAUUCAGAAUUGAGAAAAAUAAACUUUUUCUUUUUCAUAGGAAAAAAGUCAGAAUUGCGGGAAAUAAACUUAAAUUUGAAAGAAAUAUACUCAGAAAUGCUUAAAAAAAAGGUUCUGCGAGAAAUAAACUCAGAAUUCUGAAUUGAAAAAAAAAUUCUGAAUUGUGCAAAAAGUUGCAAUUGCCUUUUUUAUUUAAUUUUUAUCCCAACAAGCUUCCACAAAACUGAACUACCGAUCAGUUUUAAUGACUCCACUGCAACCAAACGAAUCAGGGACCGAAGGAGCAUCACACGUCUUUAUUUCAGAGAAAUCUGAGGAGACACCUUGAACGAGUGAUCAUCAUUAAAUGCUAUUAAAAGCCAGGCGUUGUUAUUCCUCGUGUGUCUGAGGGGAAGCGGCUGCAGGGUUUUUACAGUUGUAAGCACUUAAAGGCAAUUAUAUUCUUGGCCUGCUUUAACCGAACGUGCAGCUCGCCUUCUCCAUUCCUCCUCAUUUGUGGCGCUAAUUGGAAAAACAUUUUCAUCUUCAUGGCAACCUCCAUACUUUGGCAGUCAAUAGUUAUAUAGGCCAGUCGCACAAGCCAUAAAAAAUCCAGACAGAAGUCGUCUGACGGCAUUUAAUGCAUGCACUAGCCGUGCACAUGUACUUGCACAUGCACAUGAGGCGAGCAGGGAAAGGCAUGAACGUGCAUGUAAGCAAACUCCACAGCGGACACAGGAAGAUCCCCAGGAAACCGGUUUCUAGAAGCUGGCUUUCCCAACCUGCACUCACACAAACACUGACGAUCACCAAAGCUGUCUGACGCUCAGAGUGAUACAGGAUCCAAAGCACUCCCAUAAUGAUCAUACUGGCACUUCCCCAUAAUUAAAACAAACCCUGCCAGAGCCAUUCCCACCAGAGCAGUGCCAUCCAGGUUGGCAUCCAUGUCAUUCCAGUCCAUAAACCAGAGGACCGAAGGAGUGUACGCCAGGGCCGCAAUGCCAAUCUUGCCACCCACAUAACGCUUAAUGCUCCUCAAGUAGUCCUUCAUGGCAUGAGCCCUUUCUCUCCAAUGAGCAGAAAGCCACAACUAGACAGCAGUGAUUUCACACUUUGGCAAGAAAAAGGUGAGGUAUUAUAUUAUACACAGGCGUUGCACUAAUGUAAACUUUUAGGUUUCUAGUGCACAGGCUAGUAACUGUAACUAACUGAUGUAACU
ensembl:lncRNA